GACGAACGCUGGCGGCGUGCUUAACACACGCAAGUCGAACGGUGAAAGCGGAGCUUGCUCCGCUGGAUCAGUGGCGAACGGGUGAGUAACACGUGGGCAACCUGCCCCUCACUUCGGGAUAACUCCGGGAAACCGGGGCUAAUACCGGAUAUGACCUCCUUGGGCAUCCUUGGAGGUGGAAAGUUUUUCGGUGAGGGAUGGGCCCGCAGCCUAUCAGCUUGUUGGUGAGGUAGUGGCUCACCAAGGCGACGACGGGUAGCCGGCCUGAGAGGGCGACCGGCAACACUGGGACUGAGACACGGCCCAGACUCCUACGGGAGGCAGCAGUGGGGAAUAUUGCGCAAUGGGCGAAAGCCUGACGCAGCAACGCCGCGUGCGGGAUGACGGCCUUCGGGUUGUAUACCGCUUUCAGCAGGGAAGAAGCCGCAAGGUGACGGUACCUGCAGAAGAAGCACCGGCUAACUACGUGCCAGCCGCCGCGGUAA
rnacentral:rRNA from 1 species